AAAUAAUAUCUUAAAAGGAAAUAAAUGAAUGAAGGGUAAAUAUUUUUAAAAGAUAUAAUAUGAUGUAUUAUGUUAUAUUACAUUAUAGUACAUAUUUGGUGGCUAUUCUGUUUCCUGGUUGCACCAUCCCCUAUUUAAUUGGUCCCCUACUGAUAGACAACUGGUUGUUUCUAAUAGUCUGAUCUUUCAAACAUUGCUGCAGUGAUCAACCCUGUACAUACAUUAUUUCCUGUAUAUUCAUGUGUACCCAGAGGAGAAAUUCUUAAACUGGAGCUUUCAAGUCCAGAGUUUCUACUUUGAAAUUUUUUACUUCUUUUUUAAAAAUUGAGUCAAGAUCAUUUAACAUAAAAUCAACCCUUUUAAAGAGUGACAUUAAAAAAAAGUGACAUUUAGUGCAUUCACAGUAUUGUGCAACCAUGAUCUCUAUUUUGUUCCAAAAUAGUUCUGUUACUCCAGAAGGGAGCCCUGUACCCAUUAAGCAGUCUCAGAAACAUGGUGUUAAGUGAAAGAAGCCAGACACUAAAAGCCACAUGUGUACAGUAUGAUUCCAUUUAUUCGAAAUGUCCAGAAUGGGCAAAUCCAUAAAGACACAAAGUGGAUUAGUGGUUGCGAGGAGCUGAUGGAGUGGGGGUGGGGAGAAGGAGGAGUGAGAAAUCCUGAGGACAGGGUUUCUUUUUAUGGUGAUGACAAUGUUCUGGAAUUAGGUUACAGCGGUGGUUGCACAACUUUGUAAGUCUACCAAUAAUUACCGAAUGGUACAUAUUAAAUGGUUAAGAAUAAUAUGCGAAUUUUAUCUUAAAAUAAAUUGAAAAAGCCCCACAUUGCUGGUAUUAUUAUUGUUGAUGGUGCUAUCUUUGUUGUCUCUGAAGAGCCAUAUCUAAUCUCUACAGACUCCUGAGAUUUGAUCUCUCCCUUCUUCUCUCCUUGUGGUCUUUCCCCUUAUUUGGGGACUUUGUCACAUUUAUCUUUCUCUUGCUGUCUCUUUCAUGUGUUUCUUCUACCCCCUUAGGUUCUAAGCUCCUUGGGCUGCCAAACUGUCUUUUAUCUCCCCUGCAGGCAGAGGGCGUUCCUGGAUAGUCAUUGAGUAUCUGCAUUUGGCAGAGACACUCUCAAACAUCACACAGGCACGUCAGCUUUCUCGGGUUGUGGCUGUUUGGUCUGGUCACCUGCUCCCCUGGACCACUCAUGCCCUAAAAGACAAGAAGAAGAAUUGACAGACAAGAAACAAUAAGCUGUGAGCCCUUUGCCUGUCCAGCACACAGUGACCACACAGACAGCAGCCAGGCUAGAGGCCGUGCUCCAGAGACGUUUGUGAGGGGCACCUGGGGUUCCAAGUCAAAACACAAAAUAUAAAGAGAAGGUUGGAAGAUAGUUCAAGGAAAUUGUUCCGGAAAUAGACAAUAGGCAUAGGCCUGGACCAAAGAAGAGAGAACAAAAAUCAGAGAUUCAACCCCAAAGUUUUGGCCUCUGAAGAAUGGUGUUCCAGAAAAAGAGGAGAAUAUCAAAUCUCCCUCGGAAACAUUCUUCCUCGGAAAUGUUGCCAGAGUGGAAGAACAUUUUCCUGAAUUGAAUUUAACACACGCUGAAUUUAACACCAACUCAACAAAUAUGUAUCGAACACCUAUUUUGUGCCAGGCACUGUUCUGAGAACUUGGCAUCCAUGAACACGACGGAGGCCACAAGAGCGGCUUCCAGGAGCACAGGAACACCAAAGACUGUGGGCAGACCACCAGAAGCUGGCAGGGAGCCCUCAGAGCGAGCCCACCCUGAGGACACCUUGGUCUUGGACUUCUGGCUUCCAAAACUGAGAGAAUACAUUUCUCUGAGGUCCCCCAGUUUGUGGUUGAAGGCAGCCCUGGGGAACGCAUACAGCAUACCUUUAUUAUCAUACUGAAGCUCCCAAUGUUUAAACAGAAUGACAGAUUUUGCAAGUAGGUUAAGGCAAAGGGUCCAUUGAAAAUGCAAGGUAGCUGCCUGCACAAAAGGACCCCUCUCCCCAGACAUGUAAAACCCUGAAUAAUAACUCUGCACCAUUUGGUGCGGAUCAUGUACGGGUUUGGGU